rnacentral:sRNA from 1 species
GUCGUGAGAUGUUGGGUUAAGUCCCGCAACGAGCGCAACCCUUGCCCUUAGUUACCAGCGAGUAAAGUCGGGGACUCUAGGGGGACUGCCGGUGCCAAACCGGAGGAAGGUGGGGACGACGUCAAGUCAUCAUGGUCCUUACGUCUAGGGCUACACACGUGCUACAAUGGCAGGUACAGAGGGCUGCGAAAGAGCAAUCUGGAGCCAAUCCCUAAAGCCUGCCUCAGUUCGGAUUGUCGUCUGCAACUCGACGGCAUGAAGCUGGAAUCGCUAGUAAUCGUGGAUCAGCGAUGCCACGGUGAAUACGUUCCCGGGCCUUGUACACACCGCCCGUCACGCCAUGGAAGCUGCGAGCGCCCGAAGUCGGUGUCGGAACCCGCAAGGGGUCAAGCCGCCUAAGGCGAGCGCAGUGACUGGGGCGAAGUCGUAACAAGGUAGCCGUAGGGGAACCUGCGGCUGGAUCACCUCCUUUCCGGAGCGAUGAGUAGAACGGCCCUUCGGGUGUCUGUUCGAAAGUCCCGGAUUUUGUCGCCCGCUCUGCACAUUUCAAGUUCUCGGUCUCGAUUGCCAACACGUGUUUACACGCUGUUUGACAACGGAAUUGGGAAGUGAUCGUGGGUACUUCAGUUGAUGCGCGGCCUUCGGGUUGCGGGUCAGCUGUAAGGACGAAGAACCUCAGUGAGGCGCAGUACUGACGUCACCGACGUAAAGGCGGUGAGGUUGGGACGCUGACGCAGCACUUUAGUUUUGUUGUAUGCGCGUGCUUUGCUUGAACAGAUGGGAAAGAGUCAAGCGAACGAAGGUAUGUGGGGGAUGCCUGGGCACAUAGAGGCGAUGAAGGCCGCGGUAAGCUGCGAUAAGCUCGGGGGAGCGGCACACACGCAUUGAUCCCGAGAUGG